GGAGAGCAACUUUCACUGAAACAUUUCUCAGCAUCAUUAAGGCUACCGAUUCAAACUGCUCUCAAGCUAAAAGAGCCAUCACGAAGGUCUUAGAAUGAGCAAUUCAGUCCUUACAUGUCCAAUAUAGCAGGAGUUGAGAGCAAUGGUAUGCAGCACAGCUGAAUGGGAGCAGUGGGGGUGAUCCUUCAUCUUAAGCAGGAUUCUUGGAAGACACCUAUACCUCAGGCAGAUCCUUAAAUCAAAUUCAGCUGGGAUCUGGCAGGAUUUGCUGGAAAGAAGGCAGCCAUCUGACAACUGAAGCCAUCUGUGGAAAGUCCUGCUAUGUAUAAGGCAACACAAUAAGGAUGCUAAUAACUCAUGGGAUCAUAAGGAUUUAGAGCUGAAAACCUGGACAUCAUCUCGUAAAACCUCUUCACUUGAUACAGGAGGAAACUGAGACCCAAAGUCAGACCGGCACUUCUAUAGCACUUUUACAAAAUGCUUUACUUACAACCAACCUGUGAGGUAAGCAGCAGCGCUGGCCUCUGAUGGUGACUCUGUACAUUAAAUUCCUGACAUCUUUCUGCCUGCUUCAGCACAGGGAAGUGCAACCCAUCAGCUUUCGAAGAGAACAAUCAUCUGGAAUAGGAAGAUCGCAGAUUAAUGACCUAGAAAAUCUCUCACAAAUGGAAAUGGUACUUAA